rnacentral:rRNA from 1 species
GUUUGAUCCUGGCUCAGGACGAACGCUGGCGGCGUGCUUAACACAUGCAAGUCGAACGGAAAGGCCCUGCUUGCAGGGUACUCGAGUGGCGAACGGGUGAGUAACACGUGAGUAACCUGCCCUUGACUUUGGGAUAACUUCAGGAAACUGGGGCUAAUACCGGAUAGGAGCUCCUGCUGCAUGGUGGGGGUUGGAAAGUUUCGGCGGUUGGGGA